UGAUAGAUUUUUUAGCAAGUGCACUAAAUACCAUCGAAGUAGUAAAAAUAUCGUUACCACGAGGACUGUGUUAAUCUCAAUUUAGAAAUAAAGUAAAUAUUUAGGAUGUAUAAAUUAUUUUAGUGCCUGAGGCAGUAGUUUUGGUUUGCAUAAAAUUAAAUAAACAAAAUAUAAAGAUAGUUUUGGAAAAGAAUAAGAGAGAUGAGAUCAGGUCUUUCGAAUCAUCUAUGUUCCCCUAAUUGGUAUACUGCACCUAUUCUUAUGAAUGAUUUUCUAGUUUCACGAUAGUUAACAAAAUAGUCCUAAUCAAUCCUUUGAGUUAAGACCCUCUUCUCAAACUAC
rnacentral:lncRNA from 1 species